GCCUCGGCGGCGGCGGCGGGAUGGAGCUGCUUAUGAUCAUCACGGUGUCGGCCCUCGUCGGCUGCUUCCUCACUCUCCUCGCGCAGUUCCUCCUGAUCUAUCAGCGAAAGCCCCAGAAGCCGUUCUCGCCGUCCGCCUCCGACUGGGGGGUCUCCUACGUCACCCCGGCGCCGGGCCUUCUCCUCGGCGACUACCUCUAUGGCGCGUCGGGCCGGUCGCCGAAGCCCCCUGAGCGCGGCGGCGGCGGCGGGCUCCAGGUGGAGACGCGCUCCGUGGAGACCUGCUACUUCCUCAACGCGAUCAUGCUGUUCCUGUUCCGGGAGUUGCGGGACACGACCAUGGCCAGGCGCUGGAUCACCAAGAAGAUCCGGGUGGAGUUCGAGGAGCUGCUGCAGAGCAAGACGGCCGGCCGGCUGCUGGAGGGCUUGGGCCUGCGGGAGGUGUCGCUAGGCCAGGCCGUGCCCCUCAUCAAGAUGGUCCGCCUUCUGCAGCCCGUGGUGCCCUCGUUCGCCUCCGAGCCGGAGGGCGCCGACAGCGCGGAAGACCCCCCGGCCGCCAGCCCGGAGGAGCUCAUCUUCGAGGUGGACGUGGAGUACAACGGCGGCUUCCACCUGGCCAUCGACGUGGACCUGGUCUUCGGCAAGUCCGCCUUCCUGUUCGUCAAGCUGUCGCACAUGUCCGGGAGGCUGCGGCUCGUCUUCACCCGUUUGCCCUUCACCCACUGGGCCUUCUCGUUCGUGGAGGACCCGGUGAUGGACUUAGAGGUGCAGUCCCAGUUCGAAGGCCACCCCAUGCCGCAGCUCACCUCCAUCAUCGUCAACCAGCUCAAGAAGAUCCUGAAGCGCAAGCACACCCUGCCCAACUAUAAGAUCAGAUUCAAGCCGUUUUUCUCAUUUCAACUUUCACAAACUUCAAAGGAGGAAGAUGAACAAUAUUUGUAUAUACAACAAUAUGGACUUACAGAAGGCCGCCUUAAAAUUACUCUAGUAGAAUGUAGCAGGUUAUUGAUUUUGGGAUCCUAUGAAAGAGAAACAAAUGUUCAUUGCACGAUGGAGUUGAGCAGUGGUGUUUGGGAAGAAAAACAAAGGAGUUCUGUUAAGACGACCUCUUCCCCUGAUGUUAUACUUAGUAACACUGAGCCAGUGACAUAUUAUGGAAAAGGCAGCUGGGCUGAGUUAGUAAAAGGAAACUUACAAAGUGUUGGACUUACACUUCGCCUGGUUCAGUCAUCUGAUGGAUAUGGUGGACACGUCGUAAUUGAGACCGUGGCCCCAAAUUCCCCAGCUGCACUUGCAGAUCUUCAGCGGGGGGACAGACUUAUAGCCAUUGGAGGAGUUAAAAUCACAUCUACAAUCCAAGUGUUAAAGCUCAUCAAGCAAGCAGGUGACAGAGUGAUGGUGUAUUAUGAAAGGCCUGUUGGUCAGAGUAAUCAAGGGCCAAUGCUACAGGAUAGUUUUACACAAUUGGAAGAUAGUGCUUUUCUGGCAAACACAAGUCAAACGAAUUUUGAAGAGGACAUAACUGGCCUUUUAGUGGAUAUUGAUAACAAAGAUAUAGAUUUAGAAUUUGAAGAUUUGGCAUGUGAUAUCAAGGUACAAAAUGAGUCCAGAGAUGAGAUUCCAUCACUGAGUCAGAGUCCCAAACGCAAUUCAAUACAAAAUCUUAAGCCUUAUGGACCUGCCUCACCACUCUUAAAUCGUAAAUCAGCAAGUUACGUGUCACCACGAAAUUCUGUAAACAAAGAUUCAGCCAAAGCAGUGACAACUAAGGUUGCCGAAGUUUCAGACCAAGGACAACAGUUAACAAAAACAUCCCAAACAAAUCUUUUGAAGCCACCUGUGCCACCAAGGCCACAAAUGAAAUCUGUUCCACCAUCUACUGAUACUCAAAGCCAGGCAGAAACUGAUACAACUGUUGAAAAAACAGAGAAAUCAGUUUCUCUUCCUCAAACAGAAAAACCCUCAGAAAAGUUAGUAACAAAUGUUAAUCAGACAGAAGAUGCAUCUAUGUCAAAGCCAAAUGUGGCAAAGCAGGAUGUGGCAAAAGACUUAAUUUCAGAAAGUGCUAAUAAGGACAGUGCAGAUGACCAAACAUGGGAAUCAGCAGAAAUUCCUUAUAAUCAUAGAGUAGGUAAAUGGACAAGAGUGAAGGGAACUUGUAUAUUUAACAUAGAAGGCUCUCAUAGGUACCUGAAUAUUGCAUUGUGGUGCAGAGAUCCUUUCAAGGUGGGUAGUCUUAUCUGCUUAGGGCAUAUUAGUAUAAAACUUGAAGAGAUUGCUUUAGGAUGUUUAGCUACUUCAAACUUAGAAUAUCUCACAAAAUUCAGAUUAAAUGCUCCAAAACCUAAAGCUAUGGUUACUAGAACUGCAUUGCGAAAUAUCAGUAUGCAAAAGGGGUUCAAUGAAAAAUAUUGCUUUGGUGAUAUUACCAUACAUUUCAAGUAUUUGAAGGAAGGAGAACAAGAACAAUACAUGAAUCUUAUGGAGAAAGAAAAAGAAAACACUGUGAUAGAGGACAUCCCUCCCCCUAGUAAAGAUGAGUAUUUUGUUGGACAGAUGAAUUUGACAGAAAAUAAACAUAGUUUCCAAGACACUCAAUUUCAGAAUCCAACAUGGUGUGAUUACUGUAAGAAGAAAGUUUGGACUAAGGCCGCUUCCCAGUGCAUGUUUUGUGCUUAUGUUUGCCACAAAAAAUGUCAAGAAAAAUGCUUUGCUGAAACACCACUUUGUGUAGGACCUGAAAAGCCAGUGGACCGAAUCUUGAAAAACUUACGGAUAGAAGCACAAGAAAAUAUUCUAGGAAUGCCUUCUAACAAAUCAGGUGGUAAAAGUACAGGUAUAACAAGACAUUUAUGGAACACUAGCUCUCGGAUCUUAAACUUGCGUCAAGGCCCUAGAAGAAGCCAAGCUGAACAGAUUGCUGAAUUGGCAGAACCCUCACCCAAGCCAACACCAAACACUUCUGAUAAUGAAGGCAGUGAUUCAGAAGCUUGUGUUCCAAGUCCUUCCAGGCGGCGAAACAUUGCAGGAAUCAAAUUGGCAAGGAGAGAAGGAGGACUAGAUGACAGUGUCUUCAUUGCAGUUAAAGAAAUUGGUCGUGACCUUUAUAGGGGUUUGCCUAAUGAGGAAAGAUUCCAGAAGCUAGAAUUCAUGUUAGAUAAACUGCAGAAUGAAAUUGAUCAGGAGCUGGAACACAACAAUUCAAUUGCCAGGGAAGAGAAAGAGGCAACUGAUUCAAAGAAAAAAACACUCCUUUCGACCGCUUUGACUAAAUCAGGUGAAAGACUACAAGCUCUAACACUUCUUAUGAUACACUACAGAGCAGGUGUUGAAGAUCUAGAACUAGAAACUCUAUCUUUAUUUCAAACCAAAAAAGUGACUACAGAAGAUACAGAAGAAGACCUCGAUAAUGAAAUAUGCGAACUAAUGGAGGCUCAACCUUUUGACAGUCUAUCAGAGGAAAUAUUUGACCAACCUGAACCUCUGUAGCAAACUGCCUAUUUAACCUUCUAAAUAAUUGCAGGAAAAAAAUUAUACUUACUAAAAUACAUCAGAUACACCCCCAUUUAAACCCCCUUAUAAUAUGUAUGGCCUGCUUCUCCACAUUUAUUUGCCCAUCUUAAGAGAAAAAAAAAAAGGAAAAAGAAAAAAAAAAGUUGCUUUUUUUUUUCCAGCAGAAAGUAUGAUCAUUUGACUUGGCUAAUUUGGUUGAUUUGGAUUGUAUUAUAACAUGCUUUUGGGGUUAAUACUGAGAAUUUCUUUUUACUAAUUUAUUUUUAAUUUCUUUCUAUUAUGGAAACUAACAUUUCAUGUUGAUGUUUUCCUUUUUGCUUUUGAAUCAGUGUUAAAUAGUAUUAUACUGUCAACAUUCUUAAAAUGUUUUAAUUGACAUCAUGGUGAUAGUUAUGAACUUUGCUGCAUGCCCAAACUAACAAUACAGCAAUCAUUGAGGGAACAGGUUUUGAAAUUUUUGAUCAUGUUGCAUUGAUUUUUGUCUCAAAUUGGUUGUAGGAUGUUUUCUUGGCAGGGGUGGUUAGGGGAGCAAUGGGUUAUAUUUGUUGGAAGUGGAUUUGGAUUGGGGUUUUUUGGGGGGGAGGAGGGUAGCCAAUAAUUACAUGAAAGCAAGUACUGUGGCUUUUAUUUUGUCUAUGAUGGUUUAGUAAAAAUGUUAUUAUAUAUGAUGAUCUUGCUUUCUAUGCUUUUGUUUAAAAAAUGUUCAUUUCAAAAUUGCUCAGUUGAAUUCUUUAAGUGUUAAGACCCAGUUCAAUGUUUUUUUUGAAGAGCUUGCACUGUUGAAAUACAGAAAGCAACAGGUGGUACAGUUUGCUGUAUUGAGUCAAGAAGUUCUAGCUAGACCACUUAACAUAUUUUUGCCUGUAAAUUUAAGAAUUUUAAAAUUAUGAAAAAUAUAACCAGUAUAGAUCCUUGGUACUUAACGUUUCAAGAUGUUGAUGCUUUACCUUUAACAGAUUGGUGUAUCUGCUAAAAAAGCACUUAUAAUUCUAAACAUUUAGACACUUAAAAAUACUUAUCCUGCAGAAAUAUGUGAAAGGAUAUCAAAUUUCAGAAGACUGUAAAGCAGUUGGGUUGGUAAUUGUGUUUUGUUUUAGAAACAGAUUUGUGUUGAUAGGAAGAGCAUUGUAUAAAAAUAUGUUUGAUUUAUUGUUUGUCUCCCUUAUUACAAAAUUGCUUUUAGACCAGUGGAAUGGGUAUUUUCAUUUAGAAUGAAUGAAAACUUUUAGGUAAUAUAGACAGAUAAAAAGGGGGCCUCUUUUCUAAAAACAUAAAUCUGAGAUGAUCCUGGGUUAAGAUUAUCCAUUCUUACUAUCAUGUAAUUAAUGAGAGAUGUAUUAUAUAUUCUCUCUCUCUUUCUCUCUUCCUUUUCCUUCCUGCCUUUCCCUUUCUUUCUCUUAAAAUAUUUUGAAUAUUUUAGCUUUUUGCAUACCAAGAAAUCAUAUGCAUAUUUUAUUUCUUGUCAAUAGGUACUUUACAAAAGAAUUGGUUUUUAGGGCAUAAUGAAAAUUAAACCAAGUAUAAAGCAGGUUAAUAAUUUACAAAUAAUUUAUUUACGAUAGCUUAAGUAUGGAGGAAAUUGACAUGACCUAAUGAAAAAACACUGGCUGAGGAGUUGAAAUCUGAGUUUUAGUCCAAUUAUUUCAACUAAUAAGUUCUGUGACCUUAAGCAAGUCACAUAACCUUUCUGUGCCUCAAUUUUCCCAUCUGUAAAAUGGGUUUAUAAAACCCAUCUACCUCACAGGAUUGUUGUGAGGGAAAUUUUGUGUUAGAAGAAUAUUUAAAAGUAAAGUAUACAAAUGCAAGAUGGUUAUUGUUAUUAACUUAAUAAAGCAGCAAUCUGGGGGAGGGAAAAGAAUAAACAAAUUUAUAGACUGCUACUUUGCUCUCACAGUGAACAAUUGCUAUCAUUCACGAAACUUUUAAUAAUUGCAAGGUAUUUAGGGCAUGAAAUUCUUUGUUAGCCAAUUGUAUGGAAAAGAUAUCCCAAUUUUUUUAAAGUCCUGUUUUGUUCUUUAAAAAAAGAAAAAACCUACUGCAGAAACAGAUUUCCUUAAAAGGUCACAUAUACAUACCAUAAAUUACUCAGUAAUUCAUUUAAAAUGAAAUUUUGUCCUAUAUAAUUAGCAAGUUUGGGGCUUAUAUAGUUUUAAAGCACUGAUAACCAAGAAAUUUGUGGGCCUUUUUAGUGACUAUGAUUAUAGUAAUACUGUUGCAGUUUUAAAUUACAUCCAAAAGCUUCAUCAGAUCUCUGCCUGCUUUAAGAGGCUCUAGGAAUAACCUGAAAAUCUAUUCAGGUUUUGAAAGUAUUUAAUCAUUUAGAAUGAUGACUAUGGAAAACCUAAAUAAAACCUUAUUUAUAUACUGCUGCUUAUGAUAGGUGUAAGAUACAGAUUUAAUAUAGUUGAAUUUUUUUUUAUAUACACUGCUUAAAGGGGACUGUUGUUAUAUAUAGAAAAGAAGAGGGCAAAGCAACAAUCCAAUUAAUCUAACAUAUAAUACAAGGCUCCAGAGGGAAAACUUAUACUAUAUUACAUUACUGAUGUAUAAUCUUUGCUGCUGUGCUAUGUUAUCUAUAGCUAAAAAUAAUAAUAAUAAAGACUACCACAGAAAACAAGAAUAUAUUAAUUUUUGUGACAUCUAGAGAGUUGGUAGGUGUUACAUAUUUCAGAGAUCGCUUCUUACUAGAAUUUUAUCAUGAAAACAACAUUUAUUUCUUUAAAUAAAGCUAUCAUUUUUAAACUGUUUAAAAGGUUUUUUUAAUAUGUACAAUAUAUAACUAUCUAAAUGUGGAAAUACUGGAGGAUUUAUGUAUACCUCCACUAUAUACAAGUGAGGAGAAUAUUUAGCUUAAUUUUUCUAAGGUAUUAUUUAAUCCAAGUGACUGAAAUUUUAACUACAUUUUCAGAUAAGUCACAUGAUCUUUGGAUUCAAAGCUUUUUAAAUUUAAUUGUUAAUUUGCUUGACUUUCAAAUACUAAUGUUGCAUAGUAUUUAUAUUCCUUAACUCUACUUGAGGUGUGUAGAUAGGUUCCUGUGGUUCCAAGACAAAAACAUUUUACACCAGAGGAGGGACUCCUAAGUACUGGAUAUUUGGCCACAAAUAGUCUGGAUUUUAUUUUUUUCCUUUCUGUUCUGAAUGUUAGUAUCUAAAGAAUUUAUCCAAAAGAUCUCAAAAGCUUUGCAUUAUUCUUCCUAGCCCUAGUCUUCAUUUUUAAUGUUAUCAUGUCAUGAUAAUCAUAAGAAAUGUCCUAUUCUGAAUUAAAACCUAUUGCCAUCUCCCCCUUAGAUUAGCAUUCCCUUUUAUUAAAAUAUAUAAUCACAAAAUCAUCUAGCAACUAAUAAAUGUUGACUGAUCUUUUUGUACCAGUUCUGUAUUGACAACAAUCCUUCAAUAUGGUCAUUCAGAUGAGUAACUGAACUUUGUCUCAACUUUUGCCUUUAUUGUGCUGCUUAUUAACUAGAUCAAAUUUUAAUGAUAAGACUGUAAAAACCUAAAAUAAUGAAGUAAACCAAAAACACCCACAUGCAAGAGAGAUCCCAGAAGGAAAUGUGUGUCCAAGAUGAAAUUACUCAUUUAAAAAAAUCUACCAUUGUUUCAGUAUCCAAAACAAAUGCAAACAAGCAUGAUAUGGAAUUCAGAGCCCAUUUAUUUCUUGUUGAAUGAAACAUGAAUUUCACAUGUAUACUUGUUCCCUCAAAAGACACAUGCACUGCUGCCUCAGUGUAAGCUUCUUGUACUUUGGUUAACACAAUUUUUUAAUUAGUUACAGUCAUGAUAGCUACUUUUGUUCCAAAUAUAGUCAGAGAGAGAGAAAUAUUUUGCUUAUCCAUGUUAUGAUGCUUAAAUGUGUAUUUGGUGCAUUUUUUGUUUUGAUAAACAAUUCGAAUCAUAGGGGUAAAUUUUAGGUCUUAACCUGAAAUAGAAUUAUUUUAAAUUAACUAGAUUCUUUUGCUUUCUUAGUUGAAAAUUUUCAUACUCCUCAAAUGACCAUCUUCUGUUCCCAAAAGUCCUGUUGUCUAGUUUUGUUAAGAAAAGUAUCAUUCCUUGUCUUUGUGCUGCUUUUUACGUAAUCUAUGAAAGUUUAUAGGGUUUUUUGACCCAUUCUUGUUUAUAGCCAUUUACACAUGUACAGUUUAUGAUGACCUUUUGUUUUAGCCCUAGCCAAGCUUUGCCAGGGCUAUCUUAUACAAUAUCAGAAAUGACAUGGAUAGCCUUUUGGCAGUGCAUACUCGGAUUGAAACUGAACUUUUAAUUUAGGGAACCACCUUUAUAAGAUCUCCAUAAGAAAUAUGGCAAUGUGUGUAAUUGCCCAUCUACAGAAUGAGAAAUGAUGAGAUCAGACAAGUUUUUCUUUUUAACUGCUUGCCCUUUGAUCUAUCUAUAACAUGGAGUUUUAUAGCAACCAGUAAUUUAAGAUUUGGAUAUUUUUGUUUGUUUUUAUAAUCCCAAAACUAAAAUUUCCCACCACCCUCAUUUCAGGUGUAUACCACAACAUUGUUAUACGGUAUUCUAAAUACAUUUUGCACAUUUUACAAAACCAUAUGUAAACAAGUCUCCACUGCUACACAAAAUAUGCUGUUACUUUGAAAAAAAGGCACAUAAUUCACACAUGAAAUUCCACAUUACACUACAUGAAAUGAAUGUCAUUACUUGUUGAAUCUUAUUAGACAGCUUGGUUUUGUUUCUUACAAUUGUGUAAAUGGAUAUAUGACUAGAAUCUAAUCUGCACCUAAUUGUGCUUGAUUCAUUACAAUGGAGUUUUGGACAUAGAUCAUUUCUAUUUUUAUUUCACUUUCAUUUUAAAUUACUGUGGUUUCCCCCAAAAAACAAAUCAGUUAUGUAAACAUAUUUGUGUAUAUAAAAAAUAGGAAAGUUAUAAGCAACCCAAAAUUUAAACAUCCUACUGCUACAAGACUGUUAUUCUAAAGAGAUUGAAGAUAUCUGAGAUUUUGGCUAGUUUUGAUGUUUUGUUUUGUUUUGUUUUAAGCAAAUAUUUACCAUUCCAAGGUGGUUUUUUGUUUGCUUGUUUGUUUAGUAUUUUGGACUAAAAAUUCAUCUGUCAGUGCAUGGAUGAACAAUCUGAACUGUGUGAAGUUGAGUACGUACAUAACAAUACCCUCCAUGAAGUCUUUAUCCAACAAAAGCUCAGUAAGCAUUAACAGAAGUUUUUAAAUGCCAGUGUAUGUUUGCUGAUUUUUUCUUUGCCUCUCUAACAGAAUUUCUUUUGAGUCUUAUGAUUACCAUCAAAAUCUUACUGAAUAAAAACUUUACCUUAAUACCUUUUUCUCCAAAUGCUAGUUACAUGAGAAAGUAAUGCCAAUGUCACUUCACAUAUAUGCCCAAAAAGUGAUUCACAAGUUCUGGUAACAACCUUAGCUUCAAAAAUGACAACACAAAGAAUUUUCAUUUUAUUUUCCCCAACCAGUUUUUAACUUGUAUGUAUAUAUUACAAGUUCAAGUACAAUUCAGCACUAUCAUUCAGGUAUCUUUUUGGAAUAAUUGUGGAUUAGUUCUAUUCUUUGGCCAUUGAAUAAUUUUUGCAACUAGAUAAUGUGCCAUAUGUUCACACAUUAUCAGUAAUGGUUCAGAAAAAAUAGAGAGUUUUUUGCUAAGUGUUCAGGAAUGUAAGUUUAGAAAAUUAGACUUGAAUCAACUUUACAGAUUUACACUACAGCUUAAUAAAAAUAUAUUGUGUAAUAUUUAAUAAAAUUAAAUACAUAAAAUAAACUUCUCAACAUUAUACAAACCCCUAGAAAAGCUUUUUCUUUAUAAGGCUGUUAGCAAUCUUUCAUAACAUUGGGAGGGAAAUGUAUUUAACCUUUGGUUUCUUAACUACAUCAUUAGCAUACAGUACAACUAAAAAAAUUUUUUUCAUGAGCUGUUUCACAGGAAACACUGCAUUGUUAUACCACAGAAUAUUUAUGGCUUUUGAAGUUGUCAGUCACUUUCAGAUUCUUCAUCAUCCACUGUAGGAUAUGACUGAAUGUUGUUCUGUGUGUACAUUUUUGUUUUUAUUGGGCAGUUAUGAUCCAUGAGUAUUGCCUAAAAAAAGUAUGUACCGUUAAUUUUGGGGGUUACGUUGUUCUAUAGACCACAGUUUUUACUAUUUUAAUUAUGAUUUUUAGAAGUACUUCACGUUUGCAAAUUAUUUUUAGUAACCAGUAAAUGCUCAAAUCAAGGAUGUGUCCUAAAUAAUAGCAUUUAUUUAGACUUUUAAGGUUGUAGUGCACCAAUAUUAACUCAGUUGUUCCUCAUGAUAAUCUGUGAGGUUACAUGAUAUCCCCAUUUUACUAAAAAGGAAACUAAUGCUUUAGCCAGUCAUAACACUUUAAUAAGUGGGUGAGACAGGAUUCAAACUUGUCUUACUUACCCCUAGUCUAGUGCUCUAACAAGUGAAAGUAGUUCAAAGACUACACAAGUUUCUUGAGCCAAAAAAAGCUUUUCAUAUGACUUACUCAUCAAAAUGAGAGUUGAUGGUCAACAACUCAAAACAGUGUAAAAUAUUAGGAAUAUGAGUUAAGAUAAAUAGAUAUUGUGUUAUACUUAGAAUGGUAGAACUAGAGCAACUAGGUGAUGGAGUUGGUAGAUUCAUUUUGAAUUCAAUUUGGGCCUCAGACACCAGCUAUGUGACCCUGAACAAGUCUCAUCCCUGUUUGCUUAAAUCACUGGAGAAGAAAAUGAUAAACCUCUCCAGUAUCUUUGUCAAAAAAAAAAAAAAAAAAAAAAAAAAACCCAAAAAUCCAAUUAUUAUGAAGAGUCAGAAAUGACUGAACAGCCAUCAUGAAAUGUGAAAUCUUGGAGGAAACCAAAGUCCAAAAAGGGCAGUAAUUUGCUUCUUUAAAUACAGAUUGAAUGUUAGCAGCAAGAUAAACUUGUGGUUUUGUAAGUCCAGCAUGGCAUAGUAAUUUUGGUGCUGGUCUUCAAGUUAGAUCUUAGAUUGCAUACUGCCUCAAACAAUCAUUCAUGAACAAGUCAUUCAUCUAAUUAGCUUCAGUUUACUUCUCUGUAAAAUGGGAAUAAUAGUAACUUUCACAGGGUCACUGUGAGGAUCAAAUGAGAAUACAAUUAAAGCAUUUCACAUAGUGUGACACAGGAAGUGCUUAAUGACAACCCAGAAAUUUCUGGAGGCUAGUACUUUCCAUCACACUGCCAGUUUCCAUCUGCAGAUGACUAACCUGCAUAUUCACCUACCAUAUAUUGGUGCCAUUACCAUUUUUAUUUUUCAUCCCCACCUGUGAUUUCCUUAAUGCUAGCUACUAGUGGUAUGGAAACUUUCCCUACCAAGCAAUUAAUCUGUAACUUAGCUGUAAGAAGUUAUCCAGAGGAACUGAGAGGCUCUUGGUCACACAAAUUGCAUUUGCCAGGCAGAGCUUGAGUCCAGGUCUUUCUGAAUCCAGAAAGCCAGGGCUCGCUCUGCUAUAUCCCAUUUUCUCUGGGAGGGCCAAUGCCAUAUUUCAUUUUUUUAAAAUAGAUUUUUGGAGGCGGAGGACAAGAAUAACAUCAAAGAGGGAAGGGGAGAAAUGGCAUUAGUGUUCCCAGAAAGCCCUUUUCAAUUUAAUCUGUCAAAAAUCUAAAUAAAUGAUUAGCAAGAUGAGUCAUUAAAGACUUGAGGUGUGCUUCUUAUUGCCCAUAAUUGAGUCUAGCAUAAUGGCUUUGGGUCUGCAAUCAACAGCUGCUAACUUGAAUUUCGACAGGAAGGGAUGGAGUAGAGAAUGACAGGAAAUAAUGAUCUUGGGUAAUGAGGGGGAGACAGCAGUGUCACAGAAAAAUUGAUUAUUAAACACUUGAAAAAAUCCAAUGUCAAGUUUAGAAGUUCAGGUUUAAAAUGAAUAGCUACAAAAUCUAAGAAGGAAUACAGGAAGAAUUGCUACCAUGCACAUAGUGCCUUAAUGUUUGUUUAUGGUAGCUAGCAGUGUGGUAGAAGGCACUAGCCUCCGUUCCUGAGUUCUUGUUAUUAAACAUUAAGUACUUUGUAUGUGUCAGACGUUGUGUUACGCGCAUAAAGAUCUUUCCCUGCAAAACAAAACACAAAAAACUUAUCCAUGCCCUCAAAGUCUUGAGAGGGAACAACAUGAAUUUAGAUAAUAUAAACUUGGAAACCACUUCCAGGUCUUUCCUUUUUUACUUUCAGAACAAGUCUACUUAUUCAGCUUUACCUGCUAAGAAGUAGUUGGUUGUUUUUUCCUUUAUAUGGAGCUGAAAAUUCUACUUUUCAUUCAGUGUUCCUAUUAUUGAGGUCUAAAUGACAGUCUUGUGGGAUACAAGUGAUUGAAUAAUUGGGAACCGUUCUGGUAAGAUACAACAUUAAAAUGAGAUUUUCCUUGGAACUUUCAGCUUUUGGGUCCUACAUGAAGGCCAGAAACAUGUUAUGGAAGUUUCCAUUCUAAAGGAAAUGGAAUGUGUUUUACAUUUGAGUCAAAAGAUUGCAGUGGAGAACUGCAUCUUAGAAUCAUUAUUCAAGUUUGUCCUUUUAUUUUUCAGAUGAAGAAAAAAAUGAUGUAGAAAGGGGAUAUGGCUUGCCCAUAGUCACCAAAGCUGGAAAUAAGUAUAAUCCAGUAGAAAGAACAUUGGACUAUGUGGUCAUGUCAAUCUCUGUAUAUGAAUUAUAAAAAUAAAAAUAUAGCACUCGCACUUACCUCAAAGCUUUUUUGAGAAAAGCUCUUUGUUACAAAGAGCUAAGUAACAGACUUAAAACUAGCACCCAGUUCUCACAAUUCCUGUAGCAUUCCUUCCAUUAUAGUUUCAUGCUAACAAUCAGAAAGUAUUUUAUCACAUUCUAAUAGAAAUUUCUUACCAUUUUUUCUUCCUUGGCAGGUGGGCUUCGAAGGAAAAAGCAGAGGGGGGCAAAGAGAAUGUCAAUGAUCCCAAUAAUUGUCAUGAGCCAAGGGAACCCAAUUGCUUUUGCAAUGGCCCCACCAACAGAAGGACCUUUUGGGAAAUAAAAAAUUAGAGAGCUCCCUAAAAAUGUUGUACUCAAUGAGAAGUACAAUUUUUAAAGUUAUAAAACUAUUAAAUAAUUAAGUCCAUCUUAAGUACUUAGGACAAAGGUAUAUCCUUACCCAAUGCAAAGCCCAUGCAAAAGGCAACAUCUGCAAUGGCGUAUACACUCCCAUAGACAGAGACAUGGCGUAAGUCUACCAGGUAGCCCAUGAUGGGCAUCAUUGAGGAAUCCACCAUUCCUGCCGAUAAUUCAAAGGAAUAUAUUAUACAGAGCAUCUUCUCUCUGGGAUUUUAACCUCAGGAGGCAGCUAAUUGAGGCAGUAGAGCCUUGGGCCUAGAGCUUGGAAGACCUGUGAUCCUGGAUAACUAAGACAUCUUUGUAGUCCUAUUUCUCUUGAUCUGUAAAAUGCAUUUGAUAAGAUUACCCAUUUCGAAAGAUUUUCAUAAGCAUCAAAUGAGAAUAAUGUCUUGCAAUAGUGCUUUGGAGAGCUUAAAACUCUUAUGUUAGCUAUUAUUCUUUGAUUUGUUCUCUUUCCCCAUUUCUCUCAUUGUCUCUGAUGUUGAAUGAAUUUUUCAGAUAGUUCUCCUCGUUCUUCAGUUUCCUUCAUUUCUGAAUCUCAUUUUGUGCACAUAUCCUGCUUACCUAGUUUCAGCUCUGUAAGGGGUUCCCUCAACUUUGUCCCGUCCUCACCCUUGUGUGGCACUUAGAAUAUAUGAUAGAUGCCAUAUUGAGAGUAAUGAAUUUUCAUGUCACUCCUAUAGAAAAAAACUACAAUAUAGUCCAAGUCUUUUUGCUCUUGUCCCAAGAUUUUUUUCUGUGCACUUGUCAUGAAUGUUCUAUAUGAUUAUGCCCACAGAGUAUAAAAUUCUUCCAGAUUAUUGGUGUCAUAAAUUGCCUAUUUCAGUUAAUAUUAAUUUUGUAAUGUUAAUGCUACAAAAUUGGAUGCCUUUGGCCACGAAGGUACUCAUUGACUAGGCCCUCUAUGAGGUAAUACUGUUUUUAGUUCUAAGUCUUGCCAUAAAACAUUUUUGCAAUUUGAUACUUGGAGUAAUAAGUAAGCUUGUUCAUAGAUAUGGAGUGUACACAUGAUCUGUGGAGGAUAGUAGCCUGUUUACCUAGAGUCAACAGUAGAGUCAGUUGCCUUCUGUAAAUAUCAGCCUUUGGCAAAAAUUGGUUUUCACAAAGAAAAUAGCUAAAAUCUGGAAGUAGGUCCUUUUAAUAUGGGUAAACUACACAUUAUAUUUGAGCCUUAAGCUGCUGCUCAUCUAAUCUUUUGCUUCUAUAAUGUUUCAGGCUGCUAUCAGAGAACAAAUAUUUCUAAGCACAGGUAACCAGUAAAUGUCAUAUUUCAGCGCAAAGUUUAUGUGACUUACCGAUUGCAAAACCAACUCCAAAAUUUGGUGCGAUCAGUCCAUAAAUGUUUUUUGCAAAUGGUACCUCCAAAAAAAAAAUUUGGUUAUAUUUUUUUAAAUCAUCCAGUUUCAUUUUAUGCCAUUAUGCUUAUUUUAGUGAGCUAUUGCCAUUUCUUUUGAAAUUUGAUAUGCUUAUUUACUUAUAAGGCAAAUAUGAAAGAAUAAGAAUCCUAAUACUGAUCUGAAUAUUAGUCAUAUAGCUUACCUUCCUCAUUUUACAGAUGAGUCUAUUAAAAUCCAUUCAGGUGAAAUUACUUGCCCAAGAUCACAUAGUUAUCAAAUUCUUAAUCAUAGCAGUUGAGAGCUAGAAAGGGUCUUGUAAAUAAGCUAUACUUUUCAGCUGUUUAAAUAUAGAAAGCAAGAUUAAAAAGACCAACUUAAUUCUAGUUUUCUAGAGCACUUAAAUUUUGUGUUAGUAAUAUUGGUAACUAUUUUAUCAUACAGAGGGAGGAUUAGCUUAAUAUUAUACUUUCCCAGAAAAAGUAUCACUCACAGUCAAUAAAUAUUUAUUAAACAUCUAAGUGCCAGACAGUAAACUGGCCCCUGGCACAAAAACAAUUCCUAACCUAAAGGACCUUACAUUCUAUUUAGGUAGGCAGUAUGAUUAUGUGAUAAUAUAGAAUAUUAAGUUUUUCAUCUCUAUGGCAACACAGGCAUUACACUUAGGAAAUAAAUACAAAGUAGAUUUGGGAGGAAGUUGCUCUAACAGCUGGGGCAAUGGUGGAGUCAAGGUUUUCAUGUGGAAGAAAGUGAUUAAGCUGAGUGUCAAAGAAGAUGGGAGUCUAGAGGACAAAAUUGAAGAAAAGUGUGUUUCUAUCCAUAGGGGAUGGUAAGAUCAAAGGUCUACUAGAGGAAGUAAGUUUUACACAGGUCAAAAUGGGCAGUCCUGGAUUAUCGAGAUCUGAGAACUCAGAGCAAAAUGUCUGGCUCUGUAUAUGUUAGUUACAGAAAUAUUAAUGGGAACCCGUGUCAUUUGGAAAACUUCAGGAUAAUACUUUUUUCUUUGGGAGGAGAAAAGACAUUAGUUAUCCUGCUCUGGAGUCUUGCAUUUUGACUACUGAGGACUUCAAAGACUUUAUUAAAAACACUGCAUUAGUCAACUCUCACCCUGAUUUUCUUCCAAUGAAUUUGCCCAUGGGCACUGAUGUCUACCCAUUUUUGCCUCUGAUAAUGCUUCCUUAAAGAUAAGGUCUCUCUACAUCCAUUCUGAUAUUGAUUUAUGUGCCCCACAAAAAAAAAUAAACGAUUUGACAAUUGCUCAAAGACAAUAAAAAUUUUAAAUGUAUAACCUAAAAUUCCUGGUGUGCUGACCAAAAUCAAAUUACUAUAACUUUGUCUUUCCUUGCUAGGGCUUUAUAACCACACAUAUAAAUGAAGUUUGCCAUUUCAAGUUAGUUCAACACAUAAUUCUUGAACUUUAUAUGUGUCUCCACUGUAUUAGACAUGAGGAAUAAAAAGACAAUUAAAAUUCCCUGUUCUCAAGGA